GAUGAACGCUGACAGAAUGCUUAACACAUGCAAGUCUACCUGAACUUCGGUGUGUGUGGCGGACGGUUGAGUAACGCGUAAAGAACUUGCCUCACAGUUAGGUACAACAUAUGGAAACGAAUGCUAAUACCUGAUAUUAUGAUUUUAGGGCAUCCUAGAAUUAUGAAAGCUAUAUGCACUGUGAGAGGGCUUUGCGUCCUAUUAGCUAGUUGGAGAGGUAACGGCUUACCAAGGCGAUGAUGGGUAGCCGGCCUGAGAGGGUGAUCGGCCACAAGGGGACGGAGACACGGCCCUUACUCCUACGGGAGGCAGCAGUGGGGAUUAUUGGACAAGGGACCAAGAGUCUGAUCCAGCAAUUCUGUGUGGAAGAUGAAGUUUUUCGGAAUGUAAAGUGCUUUCAGUUGGGAAGAAAAAAAUGACGGUACCAACAGAAGAAGUGACGGCUAAAUACGUG
rnacentral:rRNA from 1 species